rnacentral:rRNA from 1 species
GACGGAGGGGGCUAGCGUUGUUCGGAAUUACUGGGCGUAAAGCGCACGUAGGCGGCUUUGCAAGUUAGAGGUGAAAGCCCGGGGCUCAACUCCGGAAUUGCCUUUAAAACUGCAUCGCUAGAAUUGUGGAGAGGUAAGUGGAAUUCCGAGUGUAGAGGUGAAAUUCGUAGAUAUUCGGAAGAACACCAGUGGCGAAGGCGACUUACUGGACACAUAUUGACGCUGAGGUGCGAAAGCGUGGGGAGCAAACAGG